rnacentral:rRNA from 1 species
GAUGAACGCUGGCGGCGUGCCUAAUACAUGCAAGUCGAGCGAACGGACGAGAAGCUUGCUUCUCUGAUGUUAGCGGCGGACGGGUGAGUAACACGUGGAUAACCUACCUAUAAGACUGGGAUAACUUCGGGAAACCGUAGCUAAUACCGGCUAAUAUUUUGAACCGCAUGGUUCAAAAGUGAAAGACGGUCUUGCUGUCACUUAUAGAUGGAUCCGCGCUGCAUUAGCUAGUUGGUAAGGUAACGGCUUACCAAGGCAACGAUGCAUAGCCGACCUGAGAGGGUGAUCGGCCACACUGGAACUGAGACACGGUCCAGACUCCUACGGGAGGCAGCAGUAGGGAAUCUUCCGCAAUGGGCGAAAGCCUGACGGAGCAACGCCGCGUGAGUGAUGAAGGUCUUCGGGUCGUAAAACUCUGUUAUUAGGGAAGAACAUAUGUGUAAGUAACUGUGCACAUCUUGACGGUACCUAAUCAGAAAGCCACGGCUAACUACGUG